AUACGUAGGUGGCAAGCGUUGUCCGGAAUUAUUGGGCGUAAAGCGCGCGCAGGUGGUUUCUUAAGUCUGAUGUGAAAGCCCACGGCUCAACCGUGGAGGGUCAUUGGAAACUGGGAGACUUGAGUGCAGAAGAGGAAAGUGGAAUUCCAAGUGUAGCGGUGAAAUGCGUAGAGAUUUGGAGGAACACCAGUGGCGAAGGCGACUUUCUGGUCUGCAACUGACACUGAGGCGCGAAAGCGUGGGGAGCAAACAGGAUUAGAUACCCUGGUAGUCCACGCCGUAAACGAUGAGUGCUAAGUGUUAGGGGGUUUCCGCCCCUUAGUGCUGCAGCUAACGCAUUAAGCACUCCGCCUGGGGAGUACGGUCGCAAGACUGAAACUCAAAGGAAUUGACGGG
rnacentral:rRNA from 1 species